CUAUAGCGUAGUGAAUCAUCGAAUCUUUGAACGCACUUUGCACCUCGUGGCUCAUGUCACAAGGUAUACUUGUUUGAGUAUCCACAACAUCCUCACUGCACCCUCGGGUUCAUAAGUGGUUUUGAGACUCGAUGAGCGCAGCGCACGCCUCGGUGUGUGACGCGCGAGUCGUUUCUUUAAAUGGAGGCCGACCACACACGUGUCUCAGCUGACAUGUGGUUAUUGGGAUAACAUCCUAACAAUAGCCAUACGCUUUGACAUGGAAGGCCAUCUCGCAUUGACGGAAGCACACACUUUACUGAUGUGUUUCAGUCGGUACAUACGGGAGGCUAGAGUGGAAACACUCAGCGUCACGCUUUGAAAUGGAUCUCAAAUCAAGUAGGGAUACCCGCUGAACUUAAGCAUAUCAAUAAGCGGAGG
rnacentral:rRNA from 1 species